UAAUUUUUGAAGUGUUUCCAAUUAAAAAUGAAGUGGAAAGAGAAAGCACAUUACAACCAAACAACUAGUUUCAUUACAAAGUCGAAGCUCCUCAGCUCAGAUCACGUUUACAUACUACAUACUACUACCAAGUUAAGGAAGAAGAAGAAGAAAGCAUGGCAAUAAAUAAUGAAAAAUAAAGCAAAUCAAGAAAGUUCGUUUAGGGUCGGUUAGUAAGUCUGGGACCAGGGUGAUCAGCCCCAGGUGGCCCAGUUAGCUUCACUCCCAACUCUAGGCAUGGUGGGGUUAACCUUAGAAUAGGCAUCAACUGCAAAGUAAGCACCACACAAUGCUCCCUCACUAUCAACUCUAGGCAUUGCUUUCAUCUUCUUCAUUGGGUGCUCAAAGCUCAUCAACCCUCUCUCACUGUGGUACAUACACCCUGCUGGGAAUGGAGCAUAUGAUUUUCCA
rnacentral:lncRNA from 1 species